rnacentral:rRNA from 1 species
CUYUUCUUGUAUAUUUUAUUUGAAGUAUAACCUGCCCCCUGAUAUAUUUAUUUAAAGGGCCGCGGUAUUUUGACCGUGCAAAGGUAGCAUAAUCAUUAGUUUCUUAAUUGGGAACUGGAAUGAAUGGUUGGACGAGGAAUAAACUGUUUCUUAUGAAGUAUUUGAAUUUAAAUUUUAGGUUAAAAUGCUUAAAUAUUUUUGUGGGACGAGAAGACCCUAUAGAGUUUAAUAUUUAUUUUUAUUAUUAUGUUUGAUUAUUUUUAAGAAUAAUAAUAAUUAUUUUAUUGGGGAGAUAGAAAGAAUUAAUAAACUCUUUUUUUUAUUAAUAUAUUUAUGUAUAAUUUAUUGAUCCAUUUUUGUUGAUUAUAAGACUAAAUUACCUUAGGGAUAACAGCGUAA